rnacentral:rRNA from 1 species
AGCAUAUGGGGGAUGCCUAGGCUCUCAGAGGCGAUGAAGGACGUGGUAAGCUGCGAUAAGCUACGGUAAGGUGCAAACGACCGCUAUAACCGUAGAUCUCCGAAUGGGGCAACCUGUAUCGUUGAAGACGAUACGCCUGAUAAGGCGCUAACCCAGGGAACUGAAACAUCUAAGUACCUGGAGGAAAAGAAAACAAAAGUGAUUCCCUAAGUAGUGGCGAGCGAACAGGGAAUAGCCCAAACCAUAGUGAUUUAGGUUGCUGUGGGGUUGUAGGACUGUGAUAUGAUAAGUAUAUCUGAAUUGGAAAUUGUCUGGAAAGCAAUACCGUAGAGGGUGAUAGUCCCGUACAAGUAUAGUUAUAUUCUUCUAACAGUAUCCUGAGUAGCGCGGAACCAGAGAAAUUCUGCGUGAAUCUGCCGGUACCAUCCGGUAAGGCUAAAUACUACUGAGAGACCGAUAGCGAACUAGUACCGUGAGGGAAAGGUGAAAAGUACCCCAAGAAGGGAGUGAAAUAGUACCUGAAACCAUAUGCUU